rnacentral:tRNA from 1 species
AGUAAUAUACUUUAAAAAAAAGUAUUCAUUUGCAAUGAAAGAUUGAUAAUCUAUCUAUUACUA